rnacentral:rRNA from 1 species
AUGUGUAGUAGUAACGUCGCCGCCGCCAGAGGCCUCCUCCACCCCGCUCCUCCUCCCUCGCCGCCGUCACAGGGUGCGGCCAGGCAAAGCCUGGCCGGCGCCGGCGGCGGCGGGGCGUUCUCGUCUCCUCACGUGGUGGCCCCGAUGCGGGACGGGGCGGCCACGGCGGGAUGCGGCGCUGGCGGUGGGCGGAGCGGCGCGGCGGCUCUCCGGCGCAGUCUCGGCGGCGGCAGAGCGUGGGCCAUGUGCCGGGCGACGCGGUGGUGGGGAAGCAUGGCUGUGGGGGCGGCUCGCCCUCGUCUUCGAUCUGGAUCGGGCGGGGGAGGUGCCUGGCGGGCGGUGCGGGCUAGAGCUGGCGCGGACGCCGGGGGACGGCCCCGGUGCGGUGGUGCGGAGCGGCGCGCUCAGCCAUGGCGGCCUGCUGUGGAGGCGGGCAACAGUGGCGUGGCGGCGCAAGAUGUGGGCGCGUGCGAUGGCGUGCACGGCGGAUCUGGCCUGGCGGAGCUUGUGGGCUAUGCUGCUCCUUCGGCGGCGGCUUCGAGUGGUGCCAUGGGCCGGCUUCGUCAGAGGGGAUUGGAGGAUGCCGGGGUGGCGGCCCCGGGCCUGAUGCCGCCGGGUCUUGCCAGCGGUCUGGUCGUCGUGCGUGGAUCUUGUUCCUACUUCGAGGAUCCACGCCGAGUGGUGGUGGUUCUGCCGACGAAGCGGGAGGUGCUGCGGCUGGCAGGUCACUGA